CCUACGGGCGGCUGCAGUGAGGAAUCUUGGACAAUGGGCGCGAGCCUGAACCAGCCAAGUCGCGUGAGGGAAGACGGUCCUAUGGAUUGUAAACCUCUUUUGUCGGGGAGCAAAAGACGCCACGCGUGGCGUUCCGAGAGUACCCGAAGAAACAGCAUCGGCUAAACCCGCGCCAGCAGCCGCGGUAAUACGGAGGAUGCGAGCGUUAUCCGGAUUUAGUGGGUUUAAAGGGUGCGCAGGCGGAAGAUCAAGUCAGCGGUAAAAUUGAGAGGCUCAACCUCUGCGAGCCGUUGAAACUGGUUUUCUUGAGUGAGCGAGAGGUGUGCGGAAUGCGUGGUGUAGCGGUGAAAUGCGUAGAUAUCACGCAGAACUCCAGUUGCGAAGGCAGCAUUCCGGCGCUCAACUGACGCUCAUGCACGAAAGUGUGGGUAUCGAACAGGAUUAGAUACCCCUGUAGUC
rnacentral:rRNA from 1 species